rnacentral:rRNA from 1 species
AGCGAACGCUGGCGGCAGGCUUAACACAUGCAAGUCGAACGCCCCGCAAGGGGAGUGGCAGACGGGCGAGUAACACGUGGGAACGUACCCUUUGGUUCGGAAUAACUUGGGGAAACUCAGGCUAAUACCGGAUAAGCCCUUAUGGGGAAAGGUUUACUGCCGAAGGAUCGGCCCGCGUCUGAUUAGCUAGUUGGUGAGGUAAUGGCUCACCAAGGCGACGAUCAGUAGCUGGUCUGAGAGGAUGAUCAGCCACACUGGGACUGAGACACGGCCCAGACUCCUACGGGAGGCAGCAGUGGGGAAUAUUGGACAAUGGGGGCAACCCUGAUCCAGCCAUGCCGCGUGAGUGAUGAAGGCCUUAGGGUUGUAAAGCUCUUUUACCCGGGACGAUAAUGACUGUACCGGGAGAAUAAGCCCCGGCUAACUUCGUGCCAGCCGCCGCAGUAA